AUUGAACGCUGGCGGCAUGCUUUACACAUGCAAGUCGAACGGCAGCGCGGGCUUCGGCCUGGCGGCGAGUGGCGAACGGGUGAGUAAUGCAUCGGAACGUGCCCAGUAGUGGGGGAUAGCCCGGCGAAAGCCGGAUUAAUACCGCAUACGACCUGAUGGUGAAAGCGGGGGACCGGAAGGCCUCGCGCUAUUGGAGCGGCCGAUGUCGGAUUAGCUAGUUGGUGGGGUAAAGGCUUACCAAGGCGACGAUCCGUAGCUGGUCUGAGAGGACGACCAGCCACACUGGGACUGAGACACGGCCCAGACUCCUACGGGAGGCAGCAGUGGGGAAUUUUGGACAAUGGGGGCAACCCUGAUCCAGCCAUGCCGCGUGCGGGAAGAAGGCCUUCGGGUUGUAAACCGCUUUUGUUCGGGAAGAAAUCCUCUGGGCUAAUACCCCGGGGGGAUGACGGUACCGGAAGAAUAAGCACCGGCUAACUACGUG
rnacentral:rRNA from 1 species